GUACGGGGUGUUAGGGCACGACACCGGAGAGGGAGCCUGAGAAACGGCUACCACAUCCAAGGAUGGCAGCAGGCGCGCAAAUUACCCAAUCCCGACACGGGGAGGUAGUGACAAUAAAUAACAAUACGGGGUUCUUUCGGAUUUCGUAAUUGGAAUGAGUACAAUUUAAAUCUCUUAACGAGGAACAAUUGGAGGGCAAGUCUGGUGCCAGCAGCCGCGGUAAUUCCAGCUCCAAUAGCGUAUAUUAAAGUUGUUGUAGUUAAAAAGCUCGUAGUUGAAUUUCGGGAUCGACGGGUCGGUCGCGCCUCUGGUGUGUACUGGCCCUGUCGGUUUCUCCCUUCUGACGAACCACGAUGUCAUUAAUUUGGUGUCGUGGGAAAUCAGGACUGUUACUUUGAAAAAAUUAGAGUGUUUAAAGCAGGCAUUCGCUUGAAUACAUUAGCAUGGAAUAAUGAAAUAGGACGUUUGAUCUUAUUUUGUUGGUUUCUAAGAUCGACGUAAUGAUUAAUAGGGAUAGUUGGGGGCAUUAGUAUUCAAUUGUCAGAGGUGAAAUUCUUGGAUUUAUUGAAGACUAACUACUGCGAAAGCAUUUGCCAAGGAUGUUUUCAUUAAUCAAGAACGAAAGUUAGGGGAUCGAAGACGAUCAGAUACCGUCGUAGUCUUAACCAUAAACUAUGCCGACUUAGGGAUCG
rnacentral:rRNA from 1 species